GUAAUAAGUUCUUAGACACCCUCCCCUUACAAGUCGAUUUUCAAAGAUGAGUUCUACCUAGGUGUCUAUUCCUUCCUAGGUUCAAACUUAGUAACUGUGGUGCUAAACGGUUCAUAUCAAUGGUAUUAGAGCUAGCCCCAUCCUACGAGACUCAAUAUUCGUAGCGGUGAUCCAUGGAAUGCUAGUUCAUGGAUUGCAUAAGAACAGGUGGUUCGAUGUGUAGGGUGCUUGCCAUGACCAACAUGGCCAUGACUAACGAGGACGUUGGUUCUCCAAAUGUAGAGUAUUAUUAUGAUUCUACAUUGCUAAAAGACAAGUUUGGUGAGAGCUUAAUAAGUCCUUAGGCACCCUCUCCUUGCAAGCUGGUUUUCAAGGAUGAGUUCUACUUGGGUGCCUAUUGCUCCCAUUGUUCAACCUUAGUGACAGUGGUGCUCAAUGGUUCAUAUAACUAAUGGACAUUACAAUCAUGUGAGAAAGGUUAAGGUCGGCGCAUCUCUGCUAAAAUCGUCAACCAACUACCAAUCAACUCAUGCCUUGGAUCCCAUUGAAAAAAGAAAAAGA
rnacentral:misc_RNA from 1 species